GGUUAAGCGACUAAGCGUACACGGUGGAUGCCCUGGCAGUCAGAGGCGAUGAAGGACGUGCUAAUCUGCGAUAAGCGUCGGUAAGGUGAUAUGAACCGUUAUAACCGGCGAUUUCCGAAUGGGGAAACCCAGUGUGUUUCGACACACUAUCAUUAACUGAAUCCAUAGGUUAAUGAGGCGAACCGGGGGAACUGAAACAUCUAAGUACCCCGAGGAAAAGAAAUCAACCGAGAUUCCCCCAGUAGCGGCGAGCGAACGGGGAGGAGCCCAGAGCCUGAAUCAGUGUGUGUGUUAGUGGAAGCGUCUGGAAAGGCGCGCGAUACAGGGUGACAGCCCCGUACACAAAAAUGCACAUGCUGUGAGCUCGAUGAGUAGGGCGGGACACGUGGUAUCCUGUCUGAAUAUGGGGGGACCAUCCUCCAAGGCUAAAUACUCCUGACUGACCGAUAGUGAACCAGUACCGUGAGGGAAAGGCGAAAAGAACCCCGGCGAGGGGAGUGAAAAAGAACCUGAAACCGUGUACGUACAAGCAGUGGGAGCACGCUUAGGCGUGUGACUGCGUACCUUUUGUAUAAUGGGUCAGCGACUUAUAUUCUGUAGCAAGGUUAACCGAAUAGGGGAGCCGAAGGGAAACCGAGUCUUAACUGGGCGUUAAGUUGCAGGGUAUAGACCCGAAACCCGGUGAUCUAGCCAUGGGCAGGUUGAAGGUUGGGUAACACUAACUGGAGGACCGAACCGACUAAUGUUGAAAAAUUAGCGGAUGACUUGUGGCUGGGGGUGAAAGGCCAAUCAAACCGGGAGAUAGCUGGUUCUCCCCGAAAGCUAUUUAGGUAGCGCCUCGUGAAUUCAUCUCCGGGGGUAGAGCACUGUUUCGGCAAGGGGGUCAUCCCGACUUACCAACCCGAUGCAAACUGCGAAUACCGGAGAAUGUUAUCACGGGAGACACACGGCGGGUGCUAACGUCCGUCGUGAAGAGGGAAACAACCCAGACCGCCAGCUAAGGUCCCAAAGUCAUGGUUAAGUGGGAAACGAUGUGGGAAGGCCCAGACAGCCAGGAUGUUGGCUUAGAAGCAGCCAUCAUUUAAAGAAAGCGUAAUAGCUCACUGGUCGAGUCGGCCUGCGCGGAAGAUGUAACGGGGCUAAACCAUGCACCGAAGCUGCGGCAGCGACGCUGAUGCGUUGUUGGGUAGGGGAGCGUUCUGUAAGCCUGCGAAGGUGUGCUGUGAGGCAUGCUGGAGGUAUCAGAAGUGCGAAUGCUGACAUAAGUAACGAUAAAGCGGGUGAAAAGCCCGCUCGCCGGAAGACCAAGGGUUCCUGUCCAACGUUAAUCGGGGCAGGGUGAGUCGACCCCUAAGGCGAGGCCGAAAGGCGUAGUCGAUGGGAAACAGGUUAAUAUUCCUGUACUUGGUGUUACUGCGAAGGGGGGACGGAGAAGGCUAUGUUGGCCGGGCGACGGUUGUCCCGGUUUAAGCGUGUAGGCUGGUUUUCCAGGCAAAUCCGGAAAAUCAAGGCUGAGGCGUGAUGACGAGGCACUACGGUGCUGAAGCAACAAAUGCCCUGCUUCCAGGAAAAGCCUCUAAGCAUCAGGUAACAUCAAAUCGUACCCCAAACCGACACAGGUGGUCAGGUAGAGAAUACCAAGGCGCUUGAGAGAACUCGGGUGAAGGAACUAGGCAAAAUGGUGCCGUAACUUCGGGAGAA
rnacentral:rRNA from 1 species